UACGUGGGAUCCAAGCGUUGUCCGGAUUUACUGGGUGUAAAGGGUGCGCAGGCGGACUGGUAAGUCAGAGGUGAAAUCUCAUCGCUCAACGGUGAAACUGCCUUUGAUACUAUCAUUCUUGAGUCCGAUAGAGAUCUGUGGAAUUCCGAGUGUAGCAGUGAAAUGUGUAGAUAUUCGGAAGAACACCAGUGGCGAAGGCAGCAGAUUGGGUCGGUACUGACGCUCAGGCACGAAAGCAUGGGGAUCAAACAGG
rnacentral:rRNA from 1 species